rnacentral:rRNA from 1 species
GACAGAGGUGCCGAGCGUUAGGCGGAAUCACUGGGCUUAAAGCGUGUGUAGGCGGGUCGUUAAGUGCCUUGUGAAAUCCCAUGGCUCAACCAUGGAACUGCUGGGCAUACUGGCGAUCUUGUGCCACCUAGGGGCGAGCGGAACAGAUGGUGGAGCGGUGAAAUGCGUAGAUAUCAUCUGGAACGCCAAUGGUGAAAACAGCUCGCUGGGGGUGUGCAGACGCUGAGACACGAAAGCCAGGGGAGCGAACGGG